rnacentral:rRNA from 1 species
GAUGAACGCUGGCGGCGUGCUUAACACAUGCAAGUCGAACGAUGAUCCCAGCUUGCUGGGGGAUUAGUGGCGGACGGGUGAGUAACACGUGAGUAACCUGCCCUUAACUCUGGGAUAAGCCUGGGAAACUGGGUCUAAUACCGGAUAUGACUCCUCAUCGCAUGGUGGGGGGUGGAAAGCUUUAUUGUGGUUUUGGAUGG